UACGGAAGGGGGCUAGCGUUGUUCGGAAUUACUGGGCGUAAAGCGCACGUAGGCGGAUAUUUAAGUCAGGGGUGAAAUCCCAGAGCUCAACUCUGGAACUGCCUUUGAUACUGGGUAUCUUGAGUAUGGAAGAGGUAAGUGGAAUUGCGAGUGUAGAGGUGAAAUUCGUAGAUAUUCGCAGGAACACCAGUGGCGAAGGCGGCUUACUGGUCCAUUACUGACGCUGAGGUGCGAAAGCGUGGGGAGCAACAGGG
rnacentral:rRNA from 1 species